AUGGAGGAAGGCGGUGGGGAGGGAGCUUUGUAUAAGAAGGGGGGGGAGGGGGGCGGGAGGAGGCAUCUUUGCGCUUGGGGCAAUGACGCAGAUAGUGAGGUUAUACCGAGGCGCGUCAAUUGCUGGUUGAAAACUAUUUCCAAACCCCCUCUUUGGCCCUUCGAGGCCACUGAGAAUUUCUGGAAGGGAUCCCUCUCCUUCGGGCGAGGACGGCCAUCUGGUGUGCAAGCGACUUCAAAAUGUUAUCUCCGCAAGGAAAAAAGCCAGGCUCUCUCCCUCCCCGUGCAGGCACGACAAAGUUGGUGGGAGGCGGCGGGGAGGGAGCUCUAUAUAAGAAGGGGGGAUUGGGGCGGGAGGAGGCAUCUUUGCGCUUGGGGCAAUGACGCAGCUAGUGAGAUUAUACCGAGGUGCGUCAAUUGCUGGUUGAAAACUAUUUCCAAACCCCCUCUAUGGCCCUUCGGGGCCACUGAGAAUUUCUGGAAGGGAUCCCUCUCCUUCGGGAAAAAGGCCAGGCUCUCUCCCUCCCCGUGCAGGCACGACAAAGUAUGUCGGUUGCUUGCUGUUUUUCUAAUUAGUCCCACCUCGCCAAUGGACAGAGGCGUCGGGGAGGGAGCUCUGUAUAAGAAGGGGAGGGAGGGGGCGGGAGGAGGCAACUUUGCGCUUGGGGCAAUGAUGCAGCUAGUGAGAAACAUAAUGACAUCAAAUACUCAAAACAACGGCCAUCCGGUGUGCAAGCGACUUCAAAACGUUAUCUUGACAAGGAAAAAAGCCAGGCUCUCUCCCUCCCCGUGCAGGCACGGCAAAGUCCCACCUCGCCAAUGGAGGGUGGCGGCGGGGAGGGAGCUCUGUGUAAGAAGGGAGGGAGGGGGUGGGAGGAGGCAUCUUUGCGCUUCGGGCAAUGACGCAGCUACUGAGGUUAUACCGAGGCGCAUCAAUUGCUGGUUGAAAACUAUUUCCAAACCCCCUCUUUGGCCCUUCAAGGCCACUGAGAAUUUCUGGAAGGGAUCCCUCUCCUUCGGGCGAGGAAACAUAAUGACAUCAAAUACUCAAAACGACGGCCAUCUGGUGUGCAAGCGACUUCAAAACCUUAUCUUCGCAAGGAAAAAAGCCAGGCUCUCUCCCUCCCCGUGUAGGCACGGCAAAGUAUGUCAGUUGCUUGCUAUUUUUCUAAUUAGUCCCACCUCGCCAAUGGAGGGUGGCGGCGGGGAGGGAGCUCUAUAUAAGAACGGGAGGGAGGGGGGCGGGAGGAGGCAUCUUUGCGCUUGGGGCAAUGACGCAGCUAGUGAGGUUAUACCGAGGCGCGUCAAUUGCUGGUUGAAAACUAUUUCCAAACGCCCUCUUUUGCCCUUCGAGGCCACUGAGAAUUUCUGGAAGGGAUCCCUCUCCUUCGGGCAAGGAAACAUAAUGACAUCAAAUACUCAAAACGACGGCCAUCUGGUGUGCAAGCGACUUCAAAAUGUUAUGUCUGCAAGGAAAAAAUCCAGCCUCUCUCCCUCCCCGUGCACGCACGACAAAGUAUGUCGGUUGCUUGCUAUAUUUCUAAUUAGUCCCACCUCGCCAAUGGAGGAAGGUGGCGGGGAGGGAGCUUUGCAUAAGAAGGGGAGGGAGGGAGGCGGGAGGAGGCAUCUUUGCGCUUGGGGCAAUGAUGCAGCUAGUGAGGUUAUACCGAGGCGCGUCAAUUGCUGGUUGAAAACUAUUUCCAAACCCCCUCUUUGGCCCUUUGAGGCCACUGAGAAUUUCUGGAAGGGAUCCCUCUCCUUCGGGCGAGGAACGACGGCCAUCUGGUGUGCAAGCGACUUCAAAACGUUAUCUACGCAAGGAAAAAAGCCAGGCUCUCUCCCUCCCCGUGCAGGCACGACAAAGGUUUUGGCUCGUGGUGCAACUGCACCCCAGUUAAACCGGAAUAAAUACUCAAACCAGCGCCAGGCAAUCUCCUUCGCUGAACUGAUAGCAAAACAUCCAUUAUGUCGGUUGCUUGCUGUUUUUCUAAUUAGUCCCACCUCGCCAAUGGAGGGAGGCGGCGGGGAGGGAGCUCUGUAUAAGAAGGGGAGGGAGGGGUGUGGGAGGAGGCAUCUUUGCGCUUGGGGCAAUGACGCAGCUAGUGAGGUUAUACCGAGGCGCAUCAAUUGCUGGUCGAAAACUAUUUCCAAACCUCCUCUUUGGCCCUUCGAGGCCACUGAGAAUUUCUGGAAGGGAUCCCUCUCCUUCGGGCGAGGAAACAUAAUGACAUCAAAUACUCAAAACGACGGCCAUCUGUUGCUUGCUGUUUUUCUAAUUAGUCCCACCUCGCCAAUGGAGGGUGGCGGCGGGGAGGGAGCUCUAUAUAAGAAGGGGAGGGAGGGGGGCGGGAGGAGGCAUCUUUGCGCUUGGGGCAAUGACGCAGCUAGUGAGGUUAUACCGAGGCGCGUCAAUUGCUGGUUGAAAACUAUUUCCAAACCCCCUCUUUUGCCCUUCGAGGCCACUGAGAAUUUCUGGAAGGGAUCCCUCUCCUUCGGGCAAGGAAACAUAAUGACAUCAAAUACUCAAAACGACGGCCAUCUGGUGUGCAAGCGACUUCAAAAUGUUAUGUCUGCAAGGAAAAAAGCCAGCCUCUCUCCCUCCCCGUGCACGCACGACAAAGUAUGUCGGUUGCUUGCUAUAUUUCUAAUUAGUCCCACCUCGCCAAUGGAGGGAGGCGGCGGGGAGGGAGCUUUGCAUAAGAAGGGGAGGGAGGGAGGCGGGAGGAGGCAUCUUUGCGCUUGGGGCAAUGAUGCAGCUAGUGAGGUUAUACCGAGGCGCGUCAAUUGCUGGUUGAAAACUAUUUCCAAACCCCCUCUUUGGCCCUUUGAGGCCACUGAGAAUUUCUGGAAGGGAUCCCUCUCCUUCGGGCGAGGAAACAUAAUGACAUCAAAUACUCAAAACGACGGCCAUCUGGUGUGCAAGCGACUUCAAAACGUUAUCUACGCAAGGAAAAAAGCCAGGCUCUCUCCCUCCCCGUGCAGGCACGACAAAGUAUGUCGGUUGCUUGCUGUUUUUCUAAUUAGUCCCACCUCGCCAAUGGAGGGAGGCGGCGGGGAGGGAGCUCUGUACAAGAAGGGGAGGGAGGGGUGUGGGAGGAGGCAUCUUUGCGCUUGGGGCAAUGACGCAGCUAGUGAGGUUAUACCGAGGCGCAUCAAUUGCUGGUCGAAAACUAUUUCCAAACCUCCUCUUUGGCCCUUCAAGGCCACUGAGAAUUUCUGGAAGGGAUCCCUCUCCUUCGGGCGAGGUCCCACCUCGCCAAUGGAGGGAGCUCUGUAUAAGAAGGGGAGGGAGGGGUGUAGGAGGAGGCAUCUUUGCGCUUGGGGCAAUGACGCAGCUAGUGAGGUUAUACCGAGGCGCAUCAAUUGCUGGUUAAAAACUAUUUCCAAACCCCCUCUUUGGCCCUUCGAGGACACUGAGAAUUCCUGGAAGGGAUACCUCUCCUUCGGGCGAGGGUAA
rnacentral:rRNA from 1 species